AUGAACGCUGGCGGCGUGCUUAACACAUGCAAGUCGCACGAUGAAGCCCAGCUUGCUGGGUGGAUUAGUGGCGAACGGGUGAGUAACACGUGAGUAACCUGCCCUUAACUCUGGGAUAAGCCUGGGAAACUGGGUCUAAUACCGGAUAGGAGCGCCUACCGCAUGGUGGGUGUUGGAAAGAUUUAUCGGUUUUGGAUGGACUCGCGGCCUAUCAGCUUGUUGGUGAGGUAAUGGCUCACCAAGGCGACGACGGGUAGCCGGCCUGAGAGGGUGACCGGCCACACUGGGACUGAGACACGGCCCAGACUCCUACGGGAGGCAGCAGUGGGGAAUAUUGCACAAUGGGCGAAAGCCUGAUGCAGCGACGCCGCGUGAGGGAUGACGGCCUUCGGGUUGUAAACCUCUUUCAGUAGGGAAGAAGCGAAAGUGACGGUACCUGCAGAAGAAGCACCGGCUAACUACGUG
rnacentral:rRNA from 1 species